rnacentral:misc_RNA from 1 species
AAGUCGUAACAAGGUUUCCGUAGGUGAACCUGCGGAAGGAUCAUUACCGAGUUAGGGUCCUCUGGGCUCGACCUCCUACCCUUUGUCUACCUUACCAUUUGUUGCUUCGGCGGAUCCGUCCCCUCGGGGACCGCCGAGGGGUCUAGGCCCCUUGGCCCGCGUCCGCCGGUAGCCCACAACCAAAACUCUUGUUUAAACGUGUCGUCUAAGUACAAAACAAAUAAGUAAAAA